rnacentral:rRNA from 1 species
UGGGGAAUCUUGGACAAUGGGGGAAACCCUGAUCCAGCAACGCCGUGUGAGUGAUGAAGGUCUUCGGAUUGUAAAGCUCUGUUAGCCGGGAAAAAACUCGUGAGCAUCAGAUCCUCACGAUUGAUGGUACCGGCAGAGGAAGCACCGGCUAACGCUGUGCCAGCAGCCGCGGUAAUACAGAGGGUGCGAGCGUUAUUCGAAAUUAUUGGGCGUAAAGCGCAAGUGGGUGGUGAGAUAAGUCUUAUGUGAAAUACUCGGGCUCAACCCGAGAGGGUCAUAGGAAACUGUCUCGCUAGAGUGCAAUAGGGGAGAGCGGAAUUCCCAGUGUAGUAGUGAAAUACGUAGAUAUUGGGAGGAACACCGGUGGCGAAAGCGGCUCUCUGGAUUGUUACUGACACUCAGUUGCGAAAGCGUGGGGAUCAAACAGGAUUAGAUACCCCAGUAGUCCCUGAGCGGGCUGGCAAGGCGCAU